GUGGACAUGAGGGCCCCUGUACAGCUCCUCAGCUUCCUGCUGGUCUGGCUCUCAGGUGCCAGGGGAAAUAUCCAGAUGACCCAGUCUCCAUCUGUGUCUGCAUCUCUGGGAGAGAAAGUCACCAUUACUUGCAAGGCCAGUCAGAGCAUUAGCAAGUAUUUGAACUGGUAUCAACAGAAACCAGGGGAAGCUCCUAGAAUAUUGAUCUAUGAUACAUCAAACUUGCACUCUGGGGUCCAAUCUCGAUUCAGUGGCAGUGGAUCUGGCACAGAUUUCACUCUUGCCAUCAGCAGCCUAAAGUCUGAAGAUGCUGCCUCUUAUUACUGUCAGAAGCGUGACAAUUAUCCUAUCACAGUGAUACAGGCCACAACACAAACCCCCCAAAGAUGA